GCCCCCGUAGCUCAGUGGAUAGAGCGUCGGUUUCCUAAACCGUGAGCGAAGGUUCGAUUCCUUCCGGGGGCG
rnacentral:tRNA from 1 species